rnacentral:rRNA from 1 species
CAUUACUAGAGCAAAGGAUAGACAGCGCCCGCGGAGCUCGCUCCCGGGGCUACCCUACUCCCGUAGGGUUUAGAGUCGUCGGGCCUCUCGGAGAAGCUCGGUCCUGAACUCCACCCUUGAAUAAACUACCUUUGUUGCUUUGGCGGGCCGCCUCGUGCCAGCGGCUUCGGCUGUUGAGUGCCCGCCAGAGGACCCCAACUCUUGUUUUUAGUGAUGUCUGAGUACUAUAUAAUAGUUAAAACUUUCAACAACGGAUCUCUUGGUUCUGGCAUCGAUGAAGAACGCAGCGAAAUGCGAUAAGUAAUGUGAAUUGCAGAAUUCAGUGAAUCAUCGAAUCUUUGAACGCACAUUGCGCCCUCUGGUAUUCCGGGGGGCAUGCCUGUUCGAGCGUCAUUAUAACCACUCAAGCUCUCGCUUGGUAUUGGGGUUCGCGGUUUCGCGGCCCCUAAAAUCAGUGGCGGUGCCUGUCGGCUCUACGCGUAGUAAUACUCCUCGCGAUUGAGUCCGGUAGGUCUACUUGCCAGCAACCCCUAAUUUUUUUAAGGUUGACCUCGGAUCAGGUAGGGAUACCCGCUGAACUUAAGCAUAUCAAUAAGCGGAGGAAAAGAAACCAACAGGGAUUACCUCAGUAACGGCGAGUGAAGCGGUAACAGCUCAAAUUUGAAAGCUGGCUCUUUUAGGGUCCGCGUUGUAAUUUGUAGAAGAUGCUUCGGGUGUGGCCCCGGUCUAA